ACCGUGUCUGGUGGGUAGUUUGACUGGGGCGGUCUCCUCCUAAAGAGUAACGGAGGAGCACGAAGGUUGGCUAAGCAUGGUCGGACAUCAUGCGGUUAGUGCAAAGGCAUAAGCCAGCUUGACUGCGAGAGUGACGGCUCGAGCAGGUACGAAAGUAGGUCUUAGUGAUCCGGUGGUUCGUGAAUGGAAGGGCCAUCGCUCAACGGAUAAAAGGUACCGUGUCUGGUGGGUAGUUUGACUGGGGCGGUCUCCUCCUAAAGAGUAACGGAGGAGCACGAAGGUUGGCUAAGCAUGGUCGGACAUCAUGCGGUUAG
rnacentral:rRNA from 1 species